ensembl:lncRNA
CAAUCUCUGUAAAGUGCCUAGUCACCAAUGCCUCGGCUUGUGCAAUCUAACACUCAGGCAGCCAACCAGGAGUUGUUAUGGAGUCACCUCUUUCUAAGGCUACCAACAAUAACAGUCUGAGAGCUGUACUCUCGGUUACGAAACACUUUAUAUUAAUACUGUGUUUAACUACCAUAGUAAUGUAUGACAUGCUGCUCAGUUAUUUGGGCAUACAAAAUCUAAGUCUCAAAUAUUAAAAUAUUACAACAACUACCUAGAAUUCAACUAUUUGAAUCGUUUUUUUCUUUUCUUUUUCAAUACUUAUUUUUGGAAGAUAUUUUUUUGAUCAAAUAAUUUUACUUGAAAAUCAUUAUAAUUAAAAACAGAGUCGCGGGAGGAUCAGAACAGCCACGACACUCUUCUGUCCAUACAUCCCCAGAGUAUAGAGAGAUGUCGAGCAAGGCGCAAACAAGCCAGACAGGCACUGCUGGAAAAUAACCUCCGCUCAGAUCACGGAAUCCAAGCGUUCGUAUGAAUCUCAAACUACGGUUACUGUGAAGGCCCAGGUCUUACGGCGAAAGGGAAGCAUCAUAUAGGACCAGAUGGAGUUGGUGAAAUGAAAGCAGACUACUAACAAAUGGACCAUCGGUCGGAAUAUAUGGAGUGUAGGUCAAUCCUCACAUGUAUCGAGGAGGAGGAGGAGGAAGAGGAGGGUGAUGAUGAUGAUGAAGCCCAUGACAUGGAAGAGGAUGAUGGGGACAGAGAGGAGACCCAAAAAGGAGGUGUAAAGGAGACAGUGGACCAAAUGGGGGAAGAAGACGAAGAAGAAAGUGGCAGAGUGGAAGGAGGGGGAGAAGAAGAUGAGGAAGACUCUGACUCUCCCUGUCUGACGCCAAGACCCUGGCGACUGCCUCGUGACUUCGACGUCGUCUUCCAAGAGACGCGCUAUGUGGACAAUGUCCAGAGUGAGUCUGGGUCAGAAGACGGCUCCCUCUGUACAGCCGAACCACAGCCCACCGCCUCUCCCCCCGAACCCUCUCCUUCAUCAGAACACACCCCUUCUUCAGAAAGUACCUCUCCACCCGAACACGGUCCUUCAUCAGAACACGCCUCUCCACCUGAUCAGACCUCUUCAUCCCAACACAGCCCUCCAUCAGGACACACCCCUUCUUCAGAAAGUACCUCUCCACCCGAACACGGUCCUUCAUCGGAACACGCCUCUCCACCCGAUCAGACCUCUUCAUCACAACACAGCCCUCCAUUAGGCCACAGCUCUCCACCCGAACACACCUCUCCAUCGGGAUACACCAGUCCUUCAGAACACACCCCGCCUCCACCCACACACUCCUCUCCAUCCGAACACACCCCAUCAUCAGAAUACACCUCUGCAUCAGACCACCCCCCUUCAUCAGAACACCCCCCCACCAGGACACAGCCUUUGGCCUCAACCGGGCAGACAGUGGAGCCAUGGACUCCCAAACAUGAAGGUCUACUCCUGGGCAGAGAGAGCGUGGCGGCGGUCAAGAGCAGAGCAGCCAAAGAAAGGCUCGAAGAGGAGGCGUUCAUCAGAUGAGGAUUUUCCUGGCUGGUUGCUGGAGCUCAUGUUUAGCAUUGAGGAGUCGACAAAACAUGUACUGUUCGUUGAAUAUGAACAUGCAAAGGCAUAACGGGUCGUUGCUUGUUUUCUGAACUUCUUUCAAUGGUGUGAUGAUGUUGUUUAUCGUGGGGCAUUUUCACUGGGAUGGUAGAGGUUUACUUUAAGCUCAAUUUAUUUUUGAUAUCUAACUUUAUUUUCCCCAGACAAGUCCCACAGACAAUCAAGUAUUUUUUCUUGAAGAAAACAACAAAAAAUGAAAGAAGCUAUGAUUUCUAAAUAAAAGUCCU